CAAAGCGGAAUAACUGCUCCGGCGUGCGGACCAUUGCACGGUGGCCAAAAUUGACCGGAGCAACGUCACCGAUGCUACUGCCACCGGCAAAGGAGGAAAGAUCCAACGUUCUAGCGCUUGCUUGCGAUGGCUCAGAAAACAACGUCAAAGGCAUGUACGAAUGUUACUCGUUGAUUGAAGAAGACGGAGUGAUAAUGAUGAGAACAUACCUUAAUAUUACGCGAUUCGAGCGUGUGACAGCGGCGUUACCCUUCUUGCCAAACGACAGGUUUCCGCAAGCCAACACGUUGACAGGCCUUCUCACUCACGGCG